UACGGAGGGUGCGAGCGUUGUCCGGAAUCAUUGGGCGUAAAGAGCGUGUAGGCGGCCAGAUAAGUCCGCUGUGAAAUCUCGAGGCUCAACUUCGAGCUGUCGGUGGAAACUAUCUGGCUAGAGUCCGGAAGAGGAGAAUGGAAUUCCUGGUGUAGCGGUGAAAUGCGCAGAUAUCAGGAAGAACACCCGUGGCGAAGGCGGUUCUCUGGGACGGUACUGACGCUGAGACGCGAAAGCGUGGGGAGCGAACAGG
rnacentral:rRNA from 1 species